GAAACUACGCCUACAUGAAGCUGGAGUUGCUAGUAAUCGCGAAUCAGCAUGUCGCGGUGAAUACGUUCCCGGGCCUUGUACACACCGCCCGUCACACCAUGAGAGUUGGCAACACCCGAAGUCGGUAGUCUAACCGCAAGGAGGGAGCUGCCGAAGGUGGAGCCGGUAACUGGGGUGAAGUCGUAACAAGGUACC
rnacentral:rRNA from 1 species